UCGUGACAAACCUUCUCCGGAUCCGUCCGAGACACCCCGCUCUGUGUCCUCUGUACCUGCAUCUCAUUCUCUUGCCAAUAACAGGGAUGUCAGCCUUGGAGAGUGCUCGCAGUAUAUCCUGUGCUUCCUGGUUGUUGAAGAAAGAUCUUUGUCUAAUCUGAGUGAGUUACGGGUAUCGGGGCCUGGUCGGGUGUCUGCAGUAUAUGCCUCUUGUCCGGCACCUCGUCCAAUUUGAUGGCCUCUGAGGAGGUGGCAUGAGGUGGCAGCCAUUGCGGGGAGAGGGUGAGAAAAACUCUGGUUUCCCCUCUGAGUGAUGAGGGAUGGAUAGAGCUGAAAGGUGUGACUGUUAAAGAUGGAAUCUGCAGUUUGGGCGAAACAGCGCCACUGGCCGCCCCUCUACUGCUGUUAUUGUUGCACAGCUGAGGAACGUCACGCAGCACGGUAUAACAAAUUGCAGUACAUAUUGUGCCGUUCUAUCACACGUGCAAUGAUGUCAGAGGAAAAAAAAACAUCUAAUGGAAAGCCUUCCCAGAAGAGUGGAGGCUGUUAUAGCAGCAAAGGGGGACAAACUCCAUACUAAUGCCCAUGAUUUUGGCAGGAGAUGUUAUGUGUCCACAUACUUUUGAUCAUAUAGUGUAUGUAAAACUGUGACAGCUGUCUUCAGGACUUAAAGUGAAUUUCUUUGCCACAUGUUUAGUAGCUUUACUUUAGUGCCUUAUUACAAACAGGAUUGCAUGUUUUGAAAUAGGUUUAAUUCUGUACAGGCUUCCUUCUUUUCACUAUCAUUUUGUAACUGUUAAAGUCACCAUUGGCCUUCCUCUCCGGCAACUGAGUUAGGAAGGGAAGGGAAGUCUGCUUUUUAAAAUUGUAUCUACCAAUAGGUGCCCUUCUUUGCAGUUGAAUCUGUGUUUGAAAUUCAUUGCUUGACUGAGUGUCCUUACAGAUAAUUGUACGUGUGUGUGGGGUACAGAGAUGAAGAAGUAAUUCAAAAUCAUGUUCAAUUUAAGGCUGUAACGUUACAAAAUGUGGCAAAGGUCAAGGGGUUGAGUACUUUCCACAUUUAGUUAGGUUACAGCCUUAUUCUAAAAUGCAUUAAAUACAUUUUUUCCAUCAAUCUACACACACUACCCCAUAAUGACAAAGCAAAAACAGGUUUUUAGAAAUAUUUGCUAAAUAAAUAAAAAACGGAAAUAUCUCAGUUAUAUAAGUAUACAGACCCCUUUAUUCUGUCACCUUGAUUUUUUCCAAAUGUUGUUACAAUACAGACUUAUUCUAAAAUGGAUUUUU